rnacentral:rRNA from 1 species
GCACAAGCGGUGGAUGAUGUGGUUUAAUUCGAUGCAACGCGAAAACCUUACCCACCUUUGACAUGUACGGAAUCCUUUAGAGAUAGAGGAGUGCUCGAAAGAGAACCGUAACACAGGUGCUGCAUGGCUGUCGUCAGCUCGUGUCGUGAGAUGUUGGGUUAAGUCCCGCAACGAGCGCAACCCUUGUCAUUAGUUGCUACAUUCAGUUGGGCACUCUAAUGAGACUGCCGGUGACAAACCGGAGGAAGGUGGGGAUGACGUCAAGUCCUCAUGGCCCUUAUGGGUAGGGCUUCACACGUCAUACAAUGGUCGGUACAGAGGGUUGCCAAGCCGCGAGGCGGAGCCAAUCCCACAAAGCCGAUCGUAGUCCGGAUUGUUCUCUGCAACUCGAGAGCAUGAAGUCGGAAUCGCUAGCAAUCGCAGGUCAGCAUACUGCGGUGAAUACGUUCCCGGGCCUU